UGGGGAAUUUUGCACAAUGGGGGAAACCCUGAUGCAGCGACGCCGCGUGAUUUAGAAGGCCUCCGGGUUGUAAAAAUCUUUUCUAUGGGAAGAAAAUGACAGUACCACAGGAAUAAGGACCGGCUAAUUACGUGCCAGCAGCCGCGGUAAUACGUAAGGUCCGAGCGUUGUCCGGAAUCAUGGGGCGUAAAGGGUACGUAGGCGGGUAAGCAAGUUAGAAGUGAAAUCCUGUAGCUCAACUACAGUAAGCUUUUAAAACUGCUCAUCUGGAGAUAGGGAAGGGAAAGUGGAAUUCCUAGUGUGGCGGUGAGAUGCGCAGAUAUAAGGAGGGAUACCGGUGGCGAAGGCGAGUGUCUGGGGAUGAACUGACGCAAAGGGACGAAAAAGUGGGGAGAGAACAGG
rnacentral:rRNA from 1 species